rnacentral:rRNA from 1 species
GCUAAACGCGAAGAACCUUACCUGGCCUUGACAUAUCCGGAAUUCUGCAGAGAUGCGGAAGUGCCUUCGGGAAUCGGAACACAGGUGCUGCAUGGCUGUCGUCAGCUCGUGUCGUGAGAUGUUGGGUUAAGUCCCGCAACGAGCGCAACCCUUGUCCUUAGUUGCCAGCGAGUAAUGUCGGGAACUCUAAGGAGACUGCCGGUGACAAACCGGAGGAAGGUGGGGAUGACGUCAAGUCCUCAUGGCCCUUACGGCCAGGGCUACACACGUACUACAAUGGUCGGUACAGAGGGUUGCCAAACCGCAAGGUGGAGCCAAUCCCAGAAAGCCGAUCCCAGUCCGGAUCGGAGUCUGCAACUCGACUCCGUGAAGUCGGAAUCGCUAGUAAUCGCGGAUCAGCUAUGCCGCGGUGAAUACGUUCCCGGGUCUUGUACACACCG